rnacentral:rRNA from 1 species
GAUUUCUGGUUUGAUGUACCUGUCCGGCUACGGUAACGUAUGUCAGUGACGGAGUAUGUCUGCCAUCCUUCUAGAGAACAUAAGCUAUCCUUUACUGGACCGGUUCAUGUGAUCUAGAUCUUUUACUUUGAAAAAAUUAGAGUGUUUAAAGCAGGCGUUUGCUCUGAAUACAUUAGCAUGGAAUAAUAAUCUAGGACUUCGGUUCUAUUUUGUUGGUUUCUAUAACUGAAGUAAUGAUUGAUAGGGAUAGUUGGGGGUGCUAGUAUUGGCCGGUCAGAGGUGAAAUUCUUGGAUUCGGUCAAGACUAACUUAUGCGAAAGCAUU